rnacentral:rRNA from 1 species
AGGACGAACGCUGGCGGCGUGCUUAACACAUGCAAGUCGAGCGGAAAGGCCCUUCGGGGUACUCGAGCGGCGAACGGGUGAGUAACACGUGAGCAACCUGCCCUUAGCUUCGGGAUAGCUCCGGGAAACCGGAAUUAAUACCGAAUAUGACUUUGGCUGACAUCAGCAGAAGUGGAAAGUUUUUCGGCUAGGGAUGGACUCGCGGCCUAUCAGCUAGUUGGUGAGGUAACGGCCCACCAAGGCGACGACGGGUAGCCGGCCUGAGAGGGCGACCGGCCACACUGGGACUGAGACACGGCCCCAGACUCCUACGGGAGGCAGCAGUGGGGAAUAUUGCGCAAUGGGCGAAAGCCUGACGCAGCGACGCCGCGUGGGGGAUGAAUGCCUUCGGGUUGUAAACCCCUUUCAGCAGGGACGAAGCGAAAGUGACGGUACCUGCAGAGAAGCGCCGGCUAACUACGCGCCAGCAGCCGC